CAACGCCGCGUGAGGGACGAACGGCCUUCGGGUUGUAAAACCUCUUUUAGUUAGGGAAGAAGGCGAAAGUGACGGUACCGUCGCAAGAAAAAGCACCCGGCUAACUACGUGC
rnacentral:rRNA from 1 species